GACGAACGCUGGCGGCGUGCUUAACACAUGCAAGUCGAACGAAGUGGCGAACGGGUGAGUAAUACGUGGGUAACCUGCCCUCCUUUUUGGGAUAAGCCUUGGAAACGGGGUCUAAUACCGAAUAAAGGGGGAUGGGAUCGCGGUCUAUCAGCUUGUUGGUGGGGUGAUGGCUUACCAAAGCGGUGACGGGUAGCCGGCCUGAGAGGGUGACCGGCAGCAUUGGGAGUGAGAUACGGCCCAGGCUCCUACGGGAGGCAGCAGUGGGGGAUAUUGCACAAUGGGCGAAAGCCUGAUGCAGCGCCGCCGCGUGGGGGAUGAAGGCUUUCGGGUUGUAAACCUCUUUAGCUAUCGAACGUGUAGGUGUAGAAGAAGCGCCGGCUAACUACGUGCCAGCAGCCGCGGUAAUAC
rnacentral:rRNA from 1 species